UUUCCUUUUCGGUGAGGAAUGUUCCUAACAUUUUUGAAAACCUCUGUUCUUAUCAACUUAAUAUCUGAUACGGAUCCUGUUUGGAUCCAAGAUAAUAAACUUAUUUUUGUGAUGCGGUGGAGUGCUUGAAGCUUGCUUCACCUCCGCCACGGGUUGGCCCGGUAUUGCACUACCUCCGGGAUGGGCCCCGGAGGU